rnacentral:rRNA from 1 species
CAGCCGCCACGGUAAUACGUAGGUGGCAAGCGUUGUCCGGAAUUAUUGGGCGUAAAGGGCUCGCAGGCGGUUUCUUAAGUCUGAUGUGAAAGCCCCCGGCUCAACCGGGGAGGGUCAUUGGAAACUGGGAAACUUGAGUGCAGAAGAGGAGGGUGGAAUUCCACGUGUAGCGGUGAAAUGCGUAGAGAUGUGGAGGAACACCAGUGGCGAAGGCGACUCUCUGGUCUGUAACUGACGCUGAGGAGCGAAAGCGUGGGGAGCGAACAGGAUUAGAUACCCCAGUAGUCCCUGUCUCUUAUAC